rnacentral:rRNA from 1 species
UGAACGCUGGCGGCAGGCCUAACACAUGCAAGUCGAGCGGAUGACGGGAGCUUGCUCCUUGAUUCAGCGGCGGACGGGUGAGUAAUGCCUAGGAAUCUGCCUGGUAGUGGGGGACAACGUUUCGAAAGGAACGCUAAUACCGCAUACGUCCUACGGGAGAAAGCAGGGGACCUUCGGGCCUUGCGCUAUCAGAUGAGCCUAGGUCGGAUUAGCUUGUUGGUGAGGUAAUGGCUCACCAAGGCGACGAUCCGUAACUGGUCUGAGAGGAUGAUCAGUCACACUGGAACUGAGACACGGUCCAGACUCCUACGGGAGGCAGCAGUGGGGAAUAUUGGACAAUGGGCGAAAGCCUGAUCCAGCCAUGCCGCGUGUGUGAAGAAGGUCUUCGGAUUGUAAAGCACUUUAAGUUGGGAGGAAGGGCAUUAACCUAAUACGUUAGUGUUUUGACGUUACCGACAGAAUAAGCACCGGCUAACUCUGUGC